rnacentral:RNase_P_RNA from 1 species
AAAGUCAGACACGUGAUCGCGGCUGCCAUAUGCGAAAGCUGGCAGGUGAGGAAAGUCCGGGCUUCAUAGGGCAGGAUGCCGGAUAACGUCCGGUGGAGGUGACUCCAAGGAUAGUGCAACAGAGAUAUACCGCCCACCUUGUGUGGGUAAGGGUGGAAAGGCAGUGUAAGAGACUACCGUGCGGAUGGUAACACCCGUAGCCAUGUAAACCCCAUUCGAAGCAAGACCAAAGUGAGACGAAGGUGGCCCGCUAGUCUCGGGUAGGUCGCUUGAGGUGACUGGUAACAGUCAUCCUAGAUAGAUGAUCGCGCAACGACAUAACCCGGCUUAUCGUCUGGCUUUUUCU